rnacentral:piRNA from 1 species
CAGAUCAGUGCGUCAGACAAGGAGCUCU